CAGUAGCCACGGUAAUACGAGGGGAGCAAGCGUUAUUCGGAUUGAUUGGGUGUAAAGGGUGUGCAGACGGCUUAUUAAGUCACUUGUUAAAUUCUUCGGCCUAACUGAAGGUCUGCAAGUGAUACUGAUGAGCUAGAGGGUGGAAGAGAGAAGUGGAAUUCUCGGAGUAGCGGUAAAAUGCGUAGAUCUCGAGAGGAACACCAAUGGCGAAGGCAGCUUCUUGGUCCAUUCCUGACGUUCAUACACGAAAGCGUGGGGAGCAAACAGGAUUAGAUACCCCAGUAGUCCCUGUCUCUUAUAC
rnacentral:rRNA from 1 species